rnacentral:rRNA from 1 species
CUACGGGCGGCACCAGGCGAGAAAACUUUGCAAUGUGCGAAAGCACGACAAGGUUAAUCCGAGUGGUUUGUGCUAAACGAACCUUUUGACAGUCCUAGAAACACUGUUGAAUAAGGGGUGGGCAAGUUCUGGUGUCAGCCGCCGCGUGUAAAACCAGCACCUCAAGUGGUCAGGAUGAUUAUUGGGCCUAAAGCAUCCGUAGCCGGCUCUGUAAGUUUUCGGUUAAAUCUGUACGCUCAACGUACAGGCUGCCGGGAAUACUGCAGAGCUAGGGAGUGGGAGAGGUAGACGGUACUCGGUAGGAAGGGGUAAAAUCCUUUGAUCUAUUGAUGACCACCUGUGGCGAAGGCGGUCUACCAGAACACGUCCGACGGUGAGGGAUGAAAGCUGGGGGAGCAAACCGGAUUAGAUACCCGAGUAGUC